AAAUAUUUAUGAGAAUCCAAACUAAGAAGUAUUGACUAGAAUGAUGGAAAGUUACGUCAUGUUUACGAGAAUUCUGUUUACAAUAAUACUAACAAUAUUUUACUAUAAUUUUGACCAAAUAUAUUUACAACAAUUCUACAUUAUGACCGCUACAGUCGGUGAUCUCGUGUGCUGCUUCGCGGCAUUCCUCCUCGUUUUGCUCCCGCCGCCACUGUAGAAGCAGCAGCUCUCCGGCGUAGCCACCGUCGUGCUCAACGUCGGGGGAUGCGUGGGCCAUGCAUGCCGUGGACGACUGUCUUCCACCGCCUUCGCAUGGACAACACCUUCUACGUCACGGCCUUUCAGCUUCAGCAUCGCGCGCGAAGAACAACGCCACGGCAGUCCAGGAACACCAUGGCCUUCAUGUCCGUUAGCUGUCCUUCUACAGGGAGAAGAAGGUACGGCGGGUUUACCGUAGUAGGAGUAGCCGCGCUGCGCCACUAGUUGCAUGGCGCAUGGUCCGCGCGCAGCGCAGCUGAUGUACCGGUUGGUCGCAGCGCAGCGACCGCCACAACAACGCACCGCCGCCGCCGUAGAAACGAGUCGCUGCAGCCCACCUCCUGCUCCUCGUUGCUCCCCACCGCGCACAGCCACGGCAUCCCCGAGGUCCGUCAGCUCGGCGCAGGUGGAGGCUAGCUAGCGUCGAUGAUGAUGCCAUGCAGUCAAGGAAGGCACGGCACGAGGGCCACAAACCACAAUCUGGAAUGGUGCGGAUGUCUCCGAACACAACCCAAUCUUGACUUUUCUACAGGUAUAAGUAGAAAUAAGCGUAAUUUCUGCCCGGGUGAAUUGAUGGACCGGUAUUUAUUGUUGUUGUUACUGGUGUGCUGGGUCAAUGGACGGAUCGAGCUUGGGUGACCAUUGUGCGCCGGGGAUGCGGUCAGACUCGUG
rnacentral:lncRNA from 1 species